AACUAUAUGUUAAAUUAAUAUAUCAACAAGUUUAUUUAAUUUAUCAGCCAAUAGGUGGCUUCAUUUUGGAGGAGUUUUGUGGUGAGAGAAUUUUUUUUUUUUUUAAUAACUUAAUUUAGACAGGUGAAAUUUUUCAAAAAGUCAUUAAGCGCAGUUAUUUAUAAUUCAUUGUACCACUCUCAAAAGGACAAUGAUAAACUUAUAGAGAGCCCCCAUUUGUCUUAAUUUAGAUGCCG
rnacentral:lncRNA from 1 species